rnacentral:lncRNA from 1 species
UGAGUGCCGGUUGUCCUUUGUGCGGCUGUGCCGCUGAGACAAUCUCUCACCUUCUUCAUAAAUGCCUUUUUGUUAAAAGCAUCUGGAUCAUUUUGAAGACUUGCUUGAACAUAAGGGGUUGGCCUUCAAAUUUCUACUCUCUACGGACCUCCUGGAGGCUAAAGAAAAUCCGCGAAAAUUGGAGAAUAGCUUGGGACCAGUUGCCAAUGGCUCUGUUUUGGCAGGUGUGGCAGGAAAGGAAUCAAAGAAUUUUCCUUAACAGAAGUAGCUCUAUCUGUUCAGUCCUCUGCAAAAGCCUGAGAGUGUCUUUGCUCUGUAAAGAAGGCUGCAGGUCACCGCGCACUCUGGAAUCAACUCAAGAAUCUGCUACCUGCGGUACAAUGGCCGGGUACUUCUGCAUGAUCCCUGCAGUUCCCUUGUUUUUUUUUAAGUCUGUUUGUAGCUCUCCAAAUUUUUCUGCUUUGACUCUGUCGGCAGAUGAUAAUUCUCUUCUGAAGCCUGGUCUAUCCAUUUGCUGCUAUCUGUUUACAGGAAUCGGGUCCAUUCCGGACACUCAGAUGUGUCUGUAUGAAUCUGUUUUGUUCGACUUCUUCUCACUCUCUCCUAAGUCUUUUGUAAAUUCUCCUAUAUAUAUUUUUCUAAUAAAAGAAGGGUAGUUUCCAGCUUCCCUUUCCCCUACAAAAAAAUUAAAAAGGAGAGGAGAAUGGAGUAUGGCCAGUGGUGCUCCAAGCUCCGACUGACCAGUGACAUAAGGAGCACCAAAGACAGCCAAACCACCUGACAAAGACAAGAACAGGGCAAGAUCUGAAAUUCUUUUUUUAGAUAAUAAUCAUAAUCACAAUGACUAUUGGAAGUCUAAAGUCGUGAUAAUUCUGUAGAACUUAAUAAAACCCCAUCAUAGCAGGAAAAGAUGCACUUAUUCACAUACUAAUCU